AAGUCAGCUUCACCUUGUAUUUUCUAGGUCUAUGUUCACACAUUUUCACAAUGUCAUAGAAUGUAUUGAGUAAUGGAAAUAACAAAUAUACAACUUUCAGCAACGGAUCUCUUGGCUCUCGCAUCGAUGAAGAACGCAGCGAAAUGCGAUAAGUAAUGUGAAUUGCAGAAUUCAGUGAAUCAUCGAAUCUUUGAACGCAUCUUGCGCUCCUUGGUAUUCCGAGGAGCAUGCCUGUUUGAGUGUCAUCA
rnacentral:rRNA from 1 species